rnacentral:lncRNA from 1 species
AAUGCAAUGAUUUGUAGGACCUUUGAGUGGGAUCAUUUAACUAUUUGAAAAAAUUGUUUAAAAACCAUCUACCCUAUUUUUGCAUUUUAGAUGUGUUAAAGCCCAUGUUGUCUUUUUAGCCAGGGAUAGAACUUGUAACAUCCAGAUUCAGUAUGUUAGUUGUAAAUCUGAGUAUUUCUUCCCUUGCAUCUUUGAGUCAUUUUCUAAGCAGACUGUCACCAAUAUUGGUAAUUAAUCAUUAAAGAGAAAAGUUGCAUUGCAGCUAUAUAUUAGUGUCUUAGAACUGUUCUUUUGUUUUAGUGAAUAAAGAGUACCAAUGGGAUCACUUACUGUUAACUCCUUCUACUGAAGGGCCCCUUCUGCAAGCAGAACACAAAUGAACAUGCUCAAGGAGUAUCCCGUUUUCUAGAGAUUAAGUUUGCUAGUAACUCCUUUACACUAGCUAUUUCUUUGUAUCCCUUUGCUGGCAAGGGAGUACAAGGAGUCAAACCACAGAUCAGAACACCCCACAUUUGAGUGGAGACUUAUUUUUACUCUAAGGGGAGUUAUUCCCCCAAGUCUGAAACUGGCAAUUAUUUUUUUUUCUCUUACAUAAAAAUUUAAAAAUAUCCCCCAAACCAGUGGAAAACAGACACUGGCUGCACUUAGUACUGCCAAGAGCCAAGGUCAUUUGCACAUAUUCCAUCAACCUGUCAAAAAUUAGGCCUCACUUUAUAACCCAAGGCAUGGAAGUGCAUGCAUUCUCUUAGCUGGGCAAGCAAUUAUACUGUAGUUGUGAUACAACACAUGUGGCUUUUAUUUGUACUGCACAUACCCACUGUACAGCCACUUGGGAGUAUCGUGGUUAGCUUGCAGCAACUGCCGUCUGCAUUUAUACUGUUUAUUGCAUAUUCUUUUCCCUGGAAGUGAAAGAGAAAUGUUUUUCUUGUUGCAUUGAUUACAUUUUAUAAAUUUGCUUAGCUGGAAAGUUUGGGAAAAGAGGCCUGUUUGUCAAUUGUACAACCGAUUGUGAAGCUUAGUGUGAAUAUUUUUACGUCUGUAUUAGACAUUUUCUUUGCAAAUCUAUUGUUCGAUUGAAAUGUAAAUGAAAUUAAAGAUGGUGUACACCCAUCAUGUAAAACGCAGGCACCAUCUCUAAGAUGGAUUUAAUGCUCAUUUUUAAGGCAUAUACUCAGCUUCUAUUUAAAACUAUAAAAUAAUUCUGUACAAUGAAAUGGGGAAUAUAUAUGGGAAUAAAUUCUAUUCCAUUUAUUUCAAUUUGAAUUUCCAAAUUGUAAUGUUUCCCUUUGUGCUAUAGGAAUAGGAUUAAAUGGGGGAAGGCUAGGACUUAUAAGGCCUGUAUAUGGGGGGAGGGCAGAGAUGGAACAAUGAGGGUUGUGAUGAUAGUGAAUAGCAAAGAGUGAAUUCUGUGUGUUUUUGCUGUAGCACUGAAGUGAAGAGAUAUUAGCUUUGGCUGUUCACAAAAUAGAGCAUCAUGAUUUUCAGUGUUUGAGAGAAAAUUGAUGGAAAAAGUUUGCAGUACUUGACAUGUAUUUGCAUGCACAAAAUAAAAUUAUUUGUCCACC